rnacentral:rRNA from 1 species
UGCCCGCAACAGGGGGAUAACCCGGCGAAAGUCGGACUAAUACCGCAUAAAACAGGGGUCCCGCAUGGGAAUAUUUGUUAAAGAUUUAUCGGUUGCGGAUGGGCAUGCGUACCAUUAGGUAGUUGGUGAGGUAACGGCUCACCAAGCCUUCGAUGGUUAGGGGUUCUGAGAGGAAGGUCCCCCACACUGGUACUGAGACACGGACCAGACUCCUACGGGAGGCAGCAGUGAGGAAUAUUGGUCAAUGGGCGAGAGCCUGAACCAGCCAAGUCGCGUGAAGGAUGACUGCCCUAUGGGUUGUAAACUUCUUUUACAAGGGAAUAAAAUGAGAUACGUGUAUUUUAUUGCAUGUACCUUGGGAAUAAGCAUCGGCUAACUCCGUGCCAGCAGCCGCGGUAAUACGGAGGAUGCGAGCGUUAUCCGGAUUUAUUGGGUUUAAAGGGUGCGUAGGUGGGCUGUUAAGUCAGCGGUGAAAGUUUGUCGCUUAACGAUAAAAUUGCCGUUGAAACUGGUAGUCUUGAGUAUAGAUGAAGUAGGCGGAAUGCGUGGUGUAGCGGUGAAAUGCAUAGAGAUCACGCAGAACUCCGAUUGCGAAGGCAGCUUACUAAGGUAUAACUG